AAAGGACUUUAUGGAAAAGAAUCUUUCCUUUGGAAGUGACACUGAGGUUCUGUCUGUGCUACUAGAAUUCCUACUUCCUCAAAGUUUGUAGGAGUUUGGAAUAAGCUAGCAAAAAGAACCCUCCACUAUACCCUGACUGA